CAUUAACGCGUGAGCUUUAAAAAGCUUAGUAAGUACUCAAAGAUAAGUCGACUUAUCCUAUCCUAAUAUAAAUGUUGAGUCUCUUAUCAAGAACUAUUCAAGAUUCAUUUCCAUUAUAUUAUGCCAUUUUUCAACUAAUUCAAAUUUGAUUAUCGAAUUAUGGAACUCAACAUACUGGUCAAUGGUUCUUUAACAAUUCACAAUAGAAAUUCAUGUUGAAGAUCAUCAUCAAGGUUAUUGAUAUUUUCCAUUCUAAGUCCAUAGCCCUUUUCACUUAACUUUCUAACUUAUUCACGGGUGAGUACCACAUAUGGCUAUGAGAAGUGGGAAAACUCACAUGGGAAUAAUUUAGAAAGUUAAGUUUAUAAAAAGAAAAAUUUAUAAGUCCAAAAACCAAAUAAAUUUAGGAAAAACGUAAGCAGAAUAAUUUAUAAGUCCGAAGUCCAUCAUAUGUCCGCAUGCCAUGUUCGAUCCUAGUCUCAAGCAUUACUUGAGAUGGUUGAAACUAUGGGGUGAGCUAACUAGCAUAAACAUAAUAUUAUUCAUAUAUCAUUCAUCAUUAAUAACAUUGUAACACAAACAUAGCAUAAACAUUACCAUUCAAAAGUGUCAUGGACAAAACAUAAUACAUAAUGAUUUCCUACCCCAACCAUCCGCUACACACCACAAGUUCCCCAGAACUCAUCUGCCAAACUCCAUACAUUGCGAGUUGAGCUCAAUGUGGUUAAACCACCAUUAUAUGUAAUGAAGAUAUACUGCCAUUCAAAAUAAAUAUGAUAUAAUCGUUGUUCUCCUCAUUACUCCCAGUGCAGUGCACUGACAACAUAUAUGCGGACUUAAUAUGCCUCCAUUACUUCACGGAACUCCUCCUUCAUCCACAUAAUCCCAUCCUAUGCACAUGUAAUAUGUCAUACAAAUUUCAAUUAAAAUCAUGUUUCCAUUACAUUCCCAUUUCAAUAGCAUGUUUUGCAUGCUCAUAACAACAUUCACUUUCAUUCGAUAAUAACAUUUAUCAAUCAUUUAGUUUCACCAUCAAUACAGUGACAUUCCAACAUGUCAUAGUUUCAUUAUCAUUCAUAAGAAAUUUUCCAGUGCAUGUGUAGCAGUCUUUCAUAUAUUUCACAACAUUUUACCCAAACAUACAUUUCAUUUUUAUUCUAAUACGUGCUACUCAUACAACCAGCGUACAUUAUAUCACAAAAUAAUUCAUAUUAAUUCAUAUCAAUACCAGACAUUCAAACAUUCAAUCAGUCAUGCAACAUUGCAAACAUGCCAUUUAUCUAAGGUUCGAAACGUACCUGAUUCAGCCACAUUAAAAUCACUUACUUAGCCAUUUAACUAAGUUUGACCAACAAGCUUAAUCAUCAUUUUAAGUAUUAAAAAGAUUAUUUAACAUUUAAAUUUUAUAGGUUGGAACCCACACCUUAUUUUUGUACAACUGUAGCACUACUUACCAAACUUGCGAUUCCUCCUUUAGACUUAAAUUGAACCUAAAUUAAAAUACAAUAUUUAUCGAGUUAAAAUGUUUCCAAAUCAGCCCUAAAGCACCCUCUUAAAGGUUCAAUCAAAUUAGCAUUACCGUAAUAAUUUUUUGUCUAAAUCGACUAGGCUACUUACACUGAUUUGAUGCGAAACAUACGUACGAAUGAGUUUUGUAGUCAUUGAUGAUCCGAGAAGUUUAAAUCAGCAUAUAAACAUAAUUAAUCCCCAAAAAUCAGUAACCAAAACCCCUGUUCAGAUUUUAAAGCAAUCGACCAAAGAAGAAAUUAGUAAUAAAGAAAAACAGUGCAAGAUCUCGCACAAGUUUGCACUUUGCACCACCCAUUACCCUGAUCUGAGUUGUCGGAUGAACAUCUUUCUGAAUUAUCAAUUAGGAACGUUUAAAUCAGAACCAAAUAGAGGGAAAAAUCUAAAAAAUUAAAAUAGUAGGGGCGAAAAUUGAAGAGAAACGACAAUCCCAAAACAAUGGUACUCUAAGGGCGUGGCAACACCAUUUGAGGUGACAAAAAAGGCAAAUCUGGGGUGCUACAAGGAGGGAUCUUUGGACAACCAAAAAGAAAAAUUUUAAGGGCUAGAAUGAUUGACUUAUUGGAUAUAAAAAUAGUAGCCAAAAAUCGGAUCACAAAGUAUAAGAACAGAGAAAAAAAAAUAGGAUUUACUAGCAUUGAUAUGAACAAGGGAGAGGGAGUGGCAAUGGACAGUAAAAGAGGAUGUUAGGAGAGAAAAAAAAGAAAUUUUAGGGCAGAAAAUAAGGAUGGUUUAGGAGGUCUAAAUGUUCAAUAAGGUGACUGGACAAACCAAAAUAGAAAAACUCUAACAACAGGGCAACACAACUGUGAUGAAAUCCCAAAAAAAGGACGAAACUUUGAGAGAAAAAAAAUAAGAGACGAGAGGAGAACUGCUAGGGUAGGAGAAAAAAAUAGACUUAAGGCUGAAAAGUAAGUGAAAAAGUGAUAUUUAUACUUAGGUUAAAAGGCAUGAGUAGCAUAAAAACAGGGGGAAGGAGAAAAAUUAGCAAAAU
rnacentral:lncRNA from 1 species